ensembl:lncRNA
GCGCCUGCCUCGCAAGUGCAAGGUCCCAAGUUCGAUCCCCAGUACCAAAAAACAAAAAACCAUAAAAACCAUUUAUAACUUUGAACAUAAAAAGAUUUAUUAGCCUUUUAAAUUCUUGCAGUCAUCUGAUCAUAGAUGCAGUAGAUUUUGAAAUAGACUCGGUCUUUGACCAUUUAAGGUGUAAUUGCUGUGUUUUCUAAGACUGAUUUUAGGCAGUUUUCUGUAUCGUGUACCAGGGACUUGUAAAUAAAAUGCCUUUUCUACUGUAAACGAUUACAGGUGUUGCUUGUGUUGAACGUGAAGGAAGCCUCAGCAGGGGCCGAGUCCGAGUGAGCGGCGCUGGCUUUCACCCCGGCUGAGUUCGAGUUCGCAGGACUGCUCCCCACGCCUAAGCGAGGAGAUUCGUCCCCUCCAGGAAUGCAGCGCCCGCUUCCCUCUCACUAGAGCUGAACCAGCGUGCGCGGAAGUGAAAAGGCAAAGGCCCCAAGGGCUGUGAGUUUCCCUUCCUGCUCCGCGCUCGCGCUUCCGGCCGCUGCCCUCAGCGGACGGGUCCUGCCCACCCUCCCCAGCUGCGGGGCGCGGCCCAGUGAGCCUUCCCCGAGUUCUCGCCCGAGAAGCGAGAAGCGGCCGCUGCCUUGGCGAUCGGAAGGCGGGGCCCGCUCAGCACCGUCCAGAACUCGCCUGGGCUCUGGCAGGCGGGGGGCGAGGCCGAGACUUGGCUGGGCUGUCCCUUCCGCCGGCCUCGGCUGGCAGCUCUUCCGGCGGCGGGCGAGGCAAGCGAGCUGCUGCUUCCUCUCACCGCCUUCCCACGCCCGCUCGCACCAGCAUCUCGCGGAUGGCGGAGGCCCGGCAGGAGAGGCUGUGGCAGGUUUAACUGGGCUCUGCAGCCCCCACCUCGCCGGUGCACGGCUUCCCCAGCGCAGGUCUGGGAUGGGGAAGGAAGGGAUCUAAAUGGCAGAUGCAGAGCUCACCAGGAGCUUUAAUCUGAGAAGAUCGUAGCACUUAAUGGGAUCGGUGGACAUUGCUGGAUUAUGAUUUUUUUUUUUUUUUUGGUACCGGGGGAUGGAACUCGGGUCCUUGCGCUUGCGCAGCAGGCGAUGAAACCACUGAGCGAAAUCCCCGGCCCUGGACUAUGAUUUUAACACUGGGAGAUCAAAUAAGCUUAAAAUCUGUUUGCCUCCUGAGUGCUGCGAUCACAGGUGUGGGCCACCACACCCAGCUAGUCUCUUUUCUGACACCGGAACGACCUUCGUACUUCAGCACAGGGGACUGCUGGAGGACUCAGACACCAGAGUUAGAGCUCCCGGGGUUCUGUCGCGCUGCGAGUCGGGUCACGGUGGUCACCACUGAGCUCGGAGGCCAGGACAUGCUGACUCUGGAAAACACAAUCGCCUUGGCCACCUCCCUUCCAGCUUCCUUCUAGUGUGCUGGUAAGCGUCUCCAUUUGCAUGUUUCCGUAACCACAGGAGAAGGCUUAUUUUGAUCAUCCCUAAAAAAACCAACUACAGUAUCCCAGGAGAGAAACAGUAACUUCUAGAAGCUGAAUGUCAAAUCCCAAUGUAGAUUUUCCAUAUCUUACUGGUGUCCGUUUGCUUUUCUUUUGUUUCUGCUGAACUGAAAUUAAAAAAAAAAAGUCCACUUCUGGGCCUUUGAUGUCAGCAAGGGUCACCUGAAACCAAGCAUGAGGUCAUUUUGUUUUAUGCAUCUUGGGUGAAUUGAGUCGAGCAGGGGCCUGCUGCUUAGAGGCCGUCCGCUGUGCAGUCUCGCUCCCACCCCAGCCAGUGCCACAGGUUGGGUGCAGGGUCCCGAAGCCUGGGCCCUGGGGAGACAGGAGGUGGGAUCGAGGGCUUCGGAAGGCUUCCUUAACAGCGGCUCUCAUUUGGCUGGCUCCGUAAACCCUUUGCAGAGCACCAAGGCGUCAGUGAUUACUGCUCACCUCGGGGAUGAAAGCACAGGAAGCAGAAUCCGUAGCAGCCGCUGUGGAUGCCGGGACAAACGGAAGUGGGCCCCAUCCCAGCCACUGGCCCUCGGGCUCACUGCUAGUGAGACACGAGCCACUCAGAGGGAGAACCGAGUCAGCCAUAGGAAAAGCCAGAUGUGUCCGAGCACACACAGCUUAAACGUACGAGAUAGCAGCAUGUGUUUGUUUCUGAACAUGAGGUCGCACUGUCCACUAGUAAGUCAUGUCCCGCAGAUGCCAGGUGCUAGGAUUAUCCAUGCCUCCCCUAACCGAGGAGACAGACUAAGAAGUGCAGGGCUCUCUCCUAAUUUCCCUAUUUAUCCCGGGGAAGGGAUGAGCAGCUAGGUGUAAUAAUUACCACCCAGAACCACAAAACCCGGCAGACAGUCGUGGGCAGCGGUCUGGUCCCAAGUUAUUCUGCCACCAGUUGCAAUUUGACGCCCCCUGGUGGGCUUGUCUGUCCAGCUUAAUUAAAUCAGGAUGGGCUUCUGGGUCCAUGCAGGGAAUCUCCCCAUGCGCUGGCAUCUGUCCGUGAGCCGCUGGAGAUGGCCCAAGGUCACCUUCUUCCUCCCUGCCCCUUAGGCUGGCAGUUGGCUGCUGGCUCCGUCUGACCCUUGCCAGCACCUAAAUCAAGACGACAGCCUUAGCUUGCCCUGUUCCGGGAGGAAGGGGAAUGGAUUCAGUGUUUCCAGGUCUGUUCAGUGAUUUAAACCUUGGGCGGGGAUUUAGCUCAGUGGUUCCGCGCCUGCCUUGUAAGUGAGUUGAACCUUCUGGGUGGAGUAUCAGGGCGUCGGGAGAGACAGCUUAGCUGUGCUGAGUGAGUGCCCAGCGCGUGGACAGUGACCACCUUGGCAGAGAUGGAAACCUGUGCUGGGCUUUGUGUGGCCCUGGUCGGCGUGGACACACUCAGGACUACCACACACCGUCCAUGUUUCUGCACUGGUGACCACAAAGGCGCCAUUACAGGGGCCCGCGAAGCUGUGCGCCCUGAGCGUCAGCAGAGCUCAGUCAGGAGGCCGCGUCGGCUGCUUUCCUCUGGGCUCCGGAUCCCGCCCGUUCCUGUCAGCUCUGUGCAGUACUCAGACCCUGUGUGAGCGCGGUCCAGCUACCAGAGUCGGGCGGAGGCUGCAGCCAGCUCCGCAAGCCGCCAGCCAGGGUGAGCUCGUGGGUCCUGAGCUGACAGCUCCUGGCCCUGGCACAUCGUCCUGUCUCUCCCACUGCUGUCUUUCCUCGGGGGACCUGUGUGGCACAGCAGUGGCUGAAACAUCACAAGAUCUUUGUCUCUGUUGAUGAACUGUACAUUGCAUAACCUUCUGUCUCUUCUUUAAAAACGUGUCAGGAAACAGCACAUACCAGAGUGUGGGAGAUGGAAUGGGGCUGCAGCGGGGCUCCGUGGCACAGCGCUGGCCUCACCAUGCCUGGGCCCUGGCCUCCAUCCCCAGAGCUCAGAAAAGAGCACACAUGAGCAGCCUUUAGCUUAAGAAACAGAACAUUCCCAGGCGCCCGCACCCCUGCUCGUCUGACCCCAUCCAUGCCGUAGGAGGUAGACAUUCUUUUGGACUUUUAUGAGUAAAUUCCCCUAUUCUUAUUUGUGGCUCUACUAUCUAUGUUGUAUCCCUAAUACAAUAUUUAGAUUUACUCGUUUUUGAACUUGUAGCAAAUGGAAUCAUACUGUAUGUAUUCUUCUGGGACUUCUCUUUUCUUAUGUUGUUUUUGAGCUCUUCAUCCCUGUUUACUGCAUGUAACCGUAUUUUGUGUUUUCACUGCUGUAUAGUAGUCCAAGUGCAAAUGUUUCAGUUAUCAGAGGUUUGGAUUGUUUUCAGCUUCUUGCUGUUACAGAGGAUGCUGCUGUGAACUUGCUGCCCAGUCAGAGCAUAAGCCAUGUGGGCAGGGCUCACGCCUGUCCUCUGCUGUCCCCAGUUUCUAGAACAGUGCCUCACCCAGGUGGGCCCAGUCAGCAUCAGAGAGCUCAGCACCUCCUUGUUCCUGUCUCCUGUGCGCAUGUGCAAGGAUUGCUCCGGGACCCCUGGGGUUCUCUGAGGCUCUUUUCAGAGGACAGAGUGUUUUCUCAUAAUUUGUCCUUUUCAUUCAGAUUUUUCCCAAUUUUAAAUUCUUUCCAGCUAUAUGAUAUCAUUGCUGCAAUAGCUAAUCAGGUUUCAUUUGUUUAUUUUUUAACAGUGUCUCCAUUUUAACCAGUGAUGUGCCACGAUACUGAUACAUAAAACCCACAGGAACAAUGGCUUUUGAGUGCCUCAGCAAUUUUUAAGAAUGUAAAGAGAUUCGGAGACCGAAAGCUUGAGAACCACUACUAUAAGAAGCUGGUUUUAGGGCCAGGGAUUUAGCUCAGUGGUUUCGACGCCUGCUGCGCAAGUGCAAGGACCCGAGUUUGAUCUCCGGUACCAAAAAAAAAAAAAGUGAGUUUUACUUGGUAAUGCCAACGUGUUUGCUAAAGUGCUUGUACCAGUUCCCACCCUGGUGGCAAUGGCUCAGAGUUCCCCAUGCCCCGUAUCUAGCACACACUUGCGCUUAGCUGUCUUUGACAUUUGCCAAUCAAAGCUAGGUGUGGUGGCACACACCUGUAAUCUCAACACUCAGGAGGCUGAGGCGGGAGGAUCGCCCUAAGUUUGAGCCCAGCCUGGGCUACACGGUGAGUUCAAGGCCAGCGUGAACUACAUAGCAAGACAGUGUCUCAAAAAACAAAACAAAACCUUUUGCCAAUUGGAUGGCUGUUAUAUAGUUUGCAGUUCCCUGUUUACGAGUGAAGUUGGUUUUUCACAUGAGCCCUCUUUUGUGAAAUUCCUAUUUAUGUGUCAUGCUCUUUUCCCCGUUAAGUUUUAUGUUUCUUUUUUCCUUAUUCAUUCAUGAUUUCUUUAUAUAUUCUGGAUAUCAGUCCUGUGUCAGCAUAACAUCUCACCCAUAUUUCCUCCCAGUUUAUGUGUUGUCUUUUGUACUUGUAUUGAAUACAUGAAUCAACUUGGAGAAACUUUACAUCUUUUCAGUAAUUGUGUCUUCCCGUGAAAAAGAGUAUGUAUCCCUCCGUUUACUAGCUCUUCUUAAUAUCUCUCAAUAAACAAUAAUUUUCUCUACAAAGG